rnacentral:lncRNA from 1 species
UCAGUCAAGAUGUAUAUAUGCAUUACUUCCAUUAAACUCAAUAUGGUGGUCACAUAAUCAUAGUCUUUCCAGCAGAUGCUAUUAUUAUGAAUGACCAAUUAACCAAGCACAAAUGUAAUCAUGUAUAAUUGGAACUACUCCUCACCAAGAAAAGUGUUUCACUCAAGCACACAGGUGUAUAUUCAGGUGACUCAUUCUCUCUACUAUCACAAUGUCACACAAAUUAAAUUUGCCUUUCAUUUAACUCACAAGCAAGUUAUCAUCACAUGGACUUUUCAUGGCUUAUAUUGAAGCUGGGCUAAGAAGAACAUUGGUUUUUCUGGAUCACAAAAUCCUUGAGUUAAGAGAGUUAUUCAACAUUCAUAGUUCAAGCAUAAACUCUUUUUGCACAACCAAUCUCACUCAUUCCCAACUUUCCCUUUUCUUUGCAUUGAGCUUUUCUUCUUAUUCUAUCUUUUCUGUCUUUUUCAUCUUUUCAUGUUUUGCUCAACACAUUAGCUCAAUGCUUAUCUUUUUCUUUUUCAACUUUCCCAACAGCCCCAAACUUGAACCUUUAUCAAUAUCACACAAUAAUUCUCAACUUAACUAAAGGUAAAGAUUUUCAAAAGGGUUUUCACAUAUUGUUUAAGGCUUAGGUUCAAAAAGGGUAGAACACAUUGAUU